rnacentral:rRNA from 1 species
AACGAACGCUGGCGGCAUGCCUAACACAUGCAAGUCGAACGAGACCUUCGGGUCUAGUGGCGCACGGGUGCGUAACGCGUGGGAACCUGCCCUUAGGUUCGGAAUAACUCCCCGAAAGGGGUGCUAAUACCGGAUAAUGUCUUCGGACCAAGAUUUAUCGCCUUUGGAUGGGCCCGCGUUGGAUUAGCUAGUUGGUAGGGUAAAAGCCUACCAAGGCGACGAUCCAUAGCUGGUCUGAGAGGAUGAUCAGCCACACUGGGACUGAGACACCGCCCAGACUCCUACGGGAGGCAGCAGUGGGGAAUAUUGGAAAAUGGGCGAAAGCCUGAUCCAGCAAUGCCGCGUGAGUGAUGAAGGCCUUAGGGUUGUAAAGCUCUUUUACCCGGGAUGAUAAUGACAGUACCGGGAGAAUAAGCUCCGGCUAACUCCGUG